UACGUAGGGUGCGAGCGUUGUCCGGAAUUACUGGGCGUAAAGAGCUCGUAGGCGGUUUGUCGCGUCUGCUGUGAAAACUCGGGGCUUAACUCCGGGCCUGCAGUGGGUACGGGCAGACUAGAGGUAGGUAGGGGAGAAUGGAAUUCCCGGUGUAGCGGUGAAAUGCGCAGAUAUCUGGAGGAACACCGGUGGCGAAGGCGGCAUCCUGGACCAACACUGACGCUGAGUGAGCGAAAGCCAGGGGAGCAAACGGG
rnacentral:rRNA from 1 species